UAUAGAUGAUGUGGUAUUGGCAGAUUACUUAACAUAUCUGUGCUCCAGCUCUCUUAUUUCUAAAAUGUGGCAAAUAAUAUUUACUACCUAACAAGGACAUUGAACAGAUUAAAUAAAUUGAUAUGUGGAAACAGAGUCUGGCAUAUAGUAAAUACUAUAGGAUCAGUUAUUACUGUUAUCAUUGUUCUUUUAAUUCAUUAAUUACACCUCAGUCACCUAAGAAAUAAUUGGUUGAUUUCCUACUAUAUCAGGCCAUUUUUUUUACCUUAUUUCUUUUCUCUUGUAUAUUACUGUUACUACAUUAUUGUUUCUGUGAAGGGUUGGCUAAUUAAACCUCAGACCCUAUACAUGGCAGAUUAAUUUCAAUUAAAAAACCCAUUUGACUUAAAAAAACUUUUGCUUUUCAAACAAUUACAAACUCACAAAAAAUUACAAAAAAAAAAAUAAUACAGAGAGGUACUGUGUACCCAUUACCCAGCUUUCCCCACAGGUCACAUCUUUCAUUACUAUAGCACAUUGCCAAAAUCAGGAAAUUGACGUUGGUACAACACAACAAACUAGACCACAGACUUUACUAAGAUUUCCCCAGUUAUUGCGUAUAUUUAUUUUUAUAUGUCUAUGUGUAUGACAUUUAAUUACCUUUAUAGAUCCAGAUAACUACUACCACUAUCAAGAUGCAAAACUGUUCCGAUACCACAAAAUAACUCCCUUGUGUUAAAGGGGCAAUUUUUAAUGCAUAUGAAACCACAUACUGCUUCAGGUUCUGCUUCUAGUUUUUCCUUUGGUAAGAGAACAAGACUUGAGAAGAUAAACUCAUCACUAUGCCAGCUAUCUAGCAAAUGCUCAAUAAAACAUUUCAUGGGAAAAAUAAAUGCUUUGCAAGUUCACUGUAAUUCACUUUGUCUGUGUUUUGUUUUUUCCUUCCCACAGUCUCUGGGAAUGUAUAUGAAUAUAACAGCAGAACAGGUGCAAGAAAGUGGAAGAAGACCCCCAGGCACCAGAAGGAGCCCUUGGCAAACACACAUUCCCUUCCAGAGAGGAUUCCUUUUCAGCUCAGAGACACAACCGGCCUCCUAAUGAAAGAGAGCAUCUGAAAGUAAACAGACUCAUUUUUUCUUGAUGUCUACCUCAAAUGGGUCGAUUCUCAGGAGGCAUUAUGGUGCAAAGGACAUCGGUGAAUUUGAAGUUUAAGGCUUGUGGCAAAUCUCGUAGCCUCUCUAAACCUUGUUGUUUCUUCUUCCGGAAAAUGUAUACAAUAAUAUCUGCCCCAUUUCUAUCCCAUAGUUUUGUCAUGGGAAACAACACGAAACAAUGAAGGUUCCACCUUUGGCAGUGCUUUUUAAACUGUAAGCACUAUUUUAAGCAUAAAGUAGGAUCAGUUUCAUUAAAUCAAAAUUGGUUGCUGAGAGAGCAGUGGCUUGGGACGUGGGAACACAGAGGGGGUCACUCCAUGGUUCUAGGCCAAUCCAAGUUGGAAUUAGUUGAUAAUUAGUUGCACAACGUCUGUGAAAGGAGUAUACUUCUUUUUUCCAGAUGGCAUGAUAAUUUCCAACCAGGGGAGAGACCAAAGAUUGUCUGGGAAAAUGCUCUUCUCUCUCCAACAAGGCUCUCUCUGGAUCAAUUAUGAUUUGAUGGAUAUACAUGUGUGAGUCUCCACCUGCCACCACCUGGGCUUUUAAGAAAAAAAAAAAAAGAAACAGCAUUUAUUAACUUUGUUUUCAAAAUUGGAUUGAAUCAAUUUGUAUUCGAUCUGCCUCUGCCCAAACCAAGAAAAAUCGGUAAGUUAGUGUUUGUUUUCCCUUGUUUAGUUGUUUUGGGUCUCAGUUUCAGAUGUAUCUGGGAGAAUGAAUGCAUGAACUGGAGAUGACAGUCGUCAUUGGAGAGAGAGCUACAAAGAGUGUCCACAGGGGCAGGACUGUGCAACCUGACCCCUCUUUGUGUCAUAAUCAAUUUGACUCCAAACUCCAGAUGCUCUCUCCUGUUGUACUGACCAUCUUCAAUUUAGUAAUAAUCAUUGUAUUAGCUUCCUGAGGCUGCCAUCACAAAUUAGCACAAACUUAGUGUCUUAAAGCAACAGAAAUGUAUUCUGUCACAGGUCUGCUGGCUAGAAUUCCGAAAUGAAGUUUUUGGCAGGACCACAUGGCCUUUGAAGGCUCUAGGGGAAAAUCUGUUCCUUGCCACUUUCAGCUCCUAGUGUCUGACCCUGAUUCCUAGACCGUGGCUGCAUCCCUCUAAUCUCAGUCUCCCCCUUCACAUCUCUUUUCCCUUUGUGUAUCUAUCAAGUUUCCCUCUUAUAAGAAUGCCUAUCUUUGGAUUUAGG
ensembl:lncRNA